AAGUCGUAACAAGGUUUCCGUAGGUGAACCUGCGGAAGGAUCAUUAACGUAUCUAACCCGGGUGGUGAAAGGCGUGCCCCCAGCUCCGGCCCACCAAGGCCGUGCAGCGGGAGCGGCCCUGAUCCCCCGAACCUUCACAAACCCACCGUGCACCAUUGUCGGCGGAGGGGAGGUCGGCGAGAGCCGCUUCCCCGAGGCCGGUUCACAAACACUUGAACCUCAAAGAAUGACUGCGGACUUUGAGCCGCCUAAAAUUUGUAACAACUUUCAACAACGGAUCUCUUGGCUCUC
rnacentral:misc_RNA from 1 species